rnacentral:rRNA from 1 species
UGGAAUGACUCUCCGCCCAAAAAACGAUUAAAUCAUCCUUUAAGGCCCCCCACCAACUAUGGGUCAGCGACCGAUCAGGUAGUUGGUGAGGCAACGGCUCACCAAGCCUUUAACCGGUACGGACCGUGAGAGCGGGAGCCCGGAGAUGGGCACUGAGAUAAGGGCCCAGGCCCUACGGGGCGCAGCAGUCGCGAAAACUUUGCAAUACACGAAAGUGUGACAGGGCUAUCCCGAGUGCCAUCCGCUGAGGAAGGCUUUUACCCAGUCUAGAAAGCUGGGAGAAUAAGGAGAGGGCAAGCCUGGUGUCAGCCGCCGCGGUAA